GAAGGCUGAGAAGGGCAAGAAGAGGAAGAAAGAUGAUGAAGUGUGAGUGAGGGACUGAGGAAGAGAAAGAGGCGUAUGGAGUGUGGUUAACUUUCCCUUCCCUGCUGGAAUGCAUGUCAAGCCCAGUCCUGCAUGUGAAUGAGGGUGUCCCUUGCUCAGCCUUACUGCCACCAUCACCUUCUACCUUGUGCUACUUUCUGAGAGUAGCCACAUGCUGUCUUGGUGAACACUGGACACAGCACAGACCUCAAGGCAGUACUGUGCCAACACUCAGCCUGCCCUGCAUCAUGCUUCAAGGGUGUAAUCAUUGUGUACCCAACAAAUGAAAUCUCUAUUAAUACU